GACGAACGCUGGCGGCGUGCUUAACACAUGCAAGUCGAACGGAAAGGCCCUGCUUUUGUGGGGUGCUCGAGUGGCGAACGGGUGAGUAACACGUGAGUAACCUGCCCUUGACUUUGGGAUAACUUCAGGAAACUGGGGCUAAUACCGGAUAGGAGCUCCUGCUGCAUGGUGGGGGUUGGAAAGUUUCGGCGGUUGGGGGUGGACUCGCGGCUUAUCAGCUUGUUGGUGGGGUAGUGGCUUACCAAGGCUUUGACGGGUAGCAGGCCUGAGAGGGUGACCGGCCACAUUGGGACUGAGAUACGGCCCAGACUCCUACGGGAGGCAGCAGUGGGGAAUAUUGCACAAUGGGCGGAAGCCUGAUGCAGCAACGCCGCGUGCGGGAUGACGGCCUUCGGGUUGUAAACCGCUUUCGCCUGUGACGAAGCGUGAGUGACGGUAAUGGGUAAAGAAGCACCGGCUAACUACGUG
rnacentral:rRNA from 1 species